GUAGUCUCGCACAGAUGCAUAUCAAUAAGCGGAGGAAAAGAAACUAACAAGGAUUCCCCUAGUAACGGCGAGUGAAGCGGGAAGAGCUCAAAUUUGAAAUCUUAAAGGGUUUCCCUUUACGAAUUGUAGUUUAAAGAAGUGUUUUCUGUUGAGGUUUUGGUAAAAGUUCUUUGGAAUAGGACAUCAUAGAGGGUGAGAAUCCCGUAUUUGACCUUUACUUUCAACUUUGUGAUACACUUUCAAAGAGUCGGAUUGUUUGGGAAUGCAGUCCAAAAUGGGUGGUAAAUUUCAUCUAAAGCUAAAUAUUGGCGAGAGACCGAUAGCGAACAAGUACCGUGAGGGAAAGAUGAAAAGAACUUUGAAAAGAGAGUUAAACAGUACGUGAAAUUGUCAAAAGGGAAGCGUUUGACACCAGUGUUGUUUUUCUGAAAAUCAAUUAAAGAACUGUUUAUGCUAAGCUGUUUAGACUUUAUCAGCUAACUGUUUAGUUUUGAGCUUUUCUUUAAUGCACUUUUCAGUUAACAAGUCAACAUCAAUUUCUUUUGCUGUAAAAAAGCUUGAGGAAGGUGGCUUGAGAUUCGUCUUAAGUGUUUAUAGCCUCUUGCCUAUGCAGUCGGAGAGAUUGAGGUCUGCAGCGUAGAUCCUUCGGGGCUAAAUGCAUUUGUGCUAAGUUAUAGCAUUUUAUAGACAACUUGUUGACUAUGAUUUGUCUUGUAGCUUACUCGCUUAUGUUAUUUUACCUACGCUUAGGAUGUUGAACUACUGAGACAUAGA
rnacentral:rRNA from 1 species